rnacentral:rRNA from 1 species
CCUACGUGUGGCUGCAGUGGGGAAUAUUGGACAAUGGGCGAAAGCCUGAUCCAGCCAUGCCGCGUGUGUGAAGAAGGCCUUCGGGUUGUAAAGCACUUUCAGUGGGGAAGAAAGCCUUGGGGCUAAUACCCUCGAGGAAGGACAUCACCCACAGAAGAAGCACCGGCUAACUCCGUGCCAGCAGCCGCGGUAAUACGGAGGGUGCGAGCGUUAAUCGGAAUUACUGGGCGUAAAGCGCGCGUAGGCGGUCUGAUAAGCCGGUUGUGAAAGCCCCGGGCUCAACCUGGGAACGGCAUCCGGAACUGUCAGGCUAGAGUGCAGGAGAGGAAGGUAGAAUUCCCGGUGUAGCGGUGAAAUGCGUAGAGAUCGGGAGGAAUACCAGUGGCGAAGGCAGCCUUCUGGACUGACACUGACGCUGAGGUGUGAAAGCGUGGGUAGCAAACAGGAUUAGAUACCCUUGUAGUC